GGAAUUCGUUUGAUGCAUUUUGAUCAAAUGUGAAAUACAGCAACCGUCUCUGAGACGGAGACACACUAUUCUCUUCAACUCUAUUACUUGAAUUUCGCAUGUAUUGCUAAAUCAGUUCGAUUGCUCUAUAGCUAAUACUACUACCAAAUUGAAUUUAACUACCAAAUUGACUUUAAUUUCUCGUAUCGUAUUACACAACUUAUUAAUCACUUAACAUGCUUAGCAAACCACUCCUCUGCACACUUUUUACAGCUGCUUCAUCUUCAACAUUGUACCUCAUGGUCCAACUUUUGGAAAUAUCUUCACAUAGCUAUCAACCUAGAAGGAAACAAGCUUGUUUUAGUUUUCAGACUAGAUGCUAAUUAAUGUAAGAUAGAACUUGUGGAAAGUGGCUUGAUCAUGUGCAUAUUUAGCAUAAGCAGAACCCUUGCAAAAGAUGGCAUGUAAUUAAAAGUACAAAGAUACAACUCUUCAGAUGUGAUUUGAUUACUUACUAGUGUAACUGAACCGGCGACGAUGGGGUUGAUUAGGCUUUGUUGUCUUGUCAAGUCGGCCAAAGGAAUUUGUAAUCCUUUUAGAAAAAACAGAUGUAUAUAAUAUAAUACGUGAAAAAGAAUUAGUGCAUUCCAAUAACAAGUUGGAGAUGGAUUGGAACCAAAAGUUAUGUUCCACUAUGAGGAGAAAGAAAUGUAUAACCAAACUCUGUAAAGCAAGCAAAUGAAAAUUACUAAAUGAGAAUUUGAAAAUAGUAAAUAAUGAUAAGCAUUAUGCAGGGAGGAGAACAUAAAAUACUAUUAUCAAUAAAGAUUUUUGUAACCUUUGUUUGUAGAAAGUUUUAAGCAGAAGACAAGAUCCUCAACCCUGAUGACAGAGUAAUCAUACAACCACCUAAAACAUAACAUAAUUGUGUCUGAGUUGACAAACAUUGUAUGACAUAAUAUUCUAUAAAAAAAAUAAGAAAGAAAAGAGGAGUGACAGCAAAAAGACAGUACCCUUCUGUUCCUAAUCCUAUCCUUAAAGUACAGAAGAAUCCAUUGAGCAAUGACAGAAACUACGAAGUGAUUUUGAAAUUUCUAUUACAUAAUAAUAGCCAUAAAUAUAUUUUAAUGCUCUUGAGCAGAUUAUUGCGGCUGCUAAAGAUGUCCAAGAAAAGACGGAAAUUUAUGCUCCUUAUAACAUUCUUCCUUUGGAUUCUGCUGGUGCUACUCAGUCUAUCAUGCAACUUGAAGAGGUAUUUCACACUUGUUAUUUAUCCUGUUAGUGCUGAUAUACUUCGGCAUCUUAUAUUCUUAUUCUUUGGUGCCUGGUUUGGAAUCUCAAUGGAAGUUUUUUCUGUUUGCUUGUUAAAGGUUAAGGCUGCAGUGGGUGCACUGUGGAACACUCGUGGUUUGAACUGGCCUAGUGCAUUCGAGAACCGGCAGAAAGCUGGCGAUCUUGACCUCCUUGAUUGGCUGAGGGCCAUGUUUGGAUUCCAGGCAUGAAUAACAACGACCAAUCGGAAUGGUUAAGAUUCACUCUAUGACCUGAAGAAAUUAUUAACUCAUUCAUCUAUUUUGGUGACUGCAGAAAGACAACGUGAGGAACCAGAGGGAGCAUUUGAUAUUGCUACUUGCAAAUACUCAUAUAAGGCUUCAUCCCAAACCCGAACCUCUUAAUAAGGUAUGUCGGCUAUGUCACUGUUGAUGGUGACCGGAUGAAUUACAUGGAUGCAUGCCAGAGCUUGUCUUGUUAGAUUCGGAUUUAAGGGUUCAUGUGACAAUGUACUCAUGUAUGUGCAUGUGGUCCAGUAUAAUUUCUCCUUUUGAUAAUUUGAAUUCCUUUCUGAUAAUUUUUCUUCAUAAUUUUUUAUUGUUGAAAUCAUUGUGUUGUAUUCAGAUUCAGAGCACUCUCUUUUUAUGAAUUUUUCCCCCUUUGUGUGGCUUUUAUUUCUUCCUGGCCUUAAACUAAGCUCGUCUCUUUUGUGCAGCUGGAUGAUCGAGCUGUUGAUGCAGUUAUGGGAAAACUUUUUAAGAACUACAAAACGUGGUGCAAAUAUUUGGGAAGAAAACAUAGUUUGAGGUUUGAUACAAUGAUAUCUACAACAAUUGUAAUUGGUUCAUGCUUCAAAUUUUUUAUGUUUGCUUUAAGCUGUACGUUUUGGCUUGAUCUCCAUGCAGACUUCCCCAAGGUCAGCAAGAAAUACAGCAAAGGAAGAUACUAUACAUGGGUUUAUAUCUUCUCAUCUGGGGUGAAGCAGCGAACGUCCGCUUUAUGCCAGAAUGUUUGUGCUAUAUUUUUCAUAAUGUAAUGAUUUGUGGGUUUCUGUUUUUUGGUUAAUCUAUUUCUGGGUAAUGAAAAUUAUGUGCUGACUUCUUACACAUUGACGCCAACUAUACAUUCAGAUGGCAUAUGAACUCCAUGGUCUGUUGGCUGGAAAUGUCAGCAUUGUUACUGGGGAAAAUAUAAAGCCUUCUUAUGGUGGGGAUGAUGAGGCUUUUUUACGGAAAGUUAUAACCCCCUUAUAUCGUGUAAUUGAAAAGGUAUGUUGCCUGAGAAGUAUGUGCGUCCUCUAGAAGUUUCAGGCCUUUAUGCUAUACACAUGAGGAUGUUUGUUAUGAUAUUCCAGGAAGCCAAGAAGGGUGAAAAUGGAAAAGCUCCUCACAUAUCUUGGUGCAACUAUGACGAUCUCAAUGAAUAUUUCUGGUUUGUGUUAUCAAUAUUUUGAGAAAGACUGGCAUUUUAUUUCUAUCUAGGGCCUCGUAUUCUAUUUAUAUUGAUAUGAUUCAGAUUUAAAUUCACUUACUUUCAGGUCGUCUGAUUGCUUCUCUCUUGGUUGGCCCAUGCGUGAUGAUGGUGAUUUUUUCAAAUCCACGCGUGACUUGGUGCAGGUACUCUUUUAUUUUUCGCCACUGCCACCGCUAUUCUUAUGUUAAUUUUC
rnacentral:lncRNA from 1 species